CCUACUGGAGGCAGCAGUGAGGAAUAUUGGUCAAUGGACGAGAGUCUGAACCAGCCAAGUAGCGUGAAGGAUGACUGCCCUAUGGGUUGUAAACUUCUUUUAUAUGGGAAUAAAGUUUUCCACGUGUGGAAUUUUGUAUGUACCAUAUGAAUAAGGAUCGGCUAACUCCGUGCCAGCAGCCGCGGUAAUACGGAGGAUCCGAGCGUUAUCCGGAUUUAUUGGGUUUAAAGGGAGCGUAGGUGGACAGUUAAGUCAGUUGUGAAAGUUUGCGGCUCAACCGUAAAAUUGCAGUUGAUACUGGCUGUCUUGAGUACAGUAGAGGUGGGCGGAAUUCGUGGUGUAGCGGUGAAAUGCUUAGAUAUCACGAAGAACUCCGAUUGCGAAGGCAGCUCACUGGACUGCAACUGACACUGAUGCUCGAAAGUGUGGGUAUCAAACA
rnacentral:rRNA from 1 species